UUCUUUUCCGGAAGCUCAUCCUCAAAGAACUCCGGGGUUAAGCGUGCUUGGCCCAGAGCAAUUUCGGGAUGGGUGACCGACCGGGAAGUUCUUCCCGGGUGCGCACGAGUGAGGACAAAGUGCGCAGAAAAGACUUGUGUUGGUCUGUGAGGGAAUUCUUGAUAUCCUAGAGAGCUUCCAGGUGUAAGCGGGCCUGUAGUUGAAUCCGAC
rnacentral:lncRNA from 1 species